CCAAUAGCGUAUAUUAAAGUUGUUGCAGUUAAAAAGCUCGUAGUUGAAUUUCGGGAGCAGUUGAUCGGUCGUGCCGCGGUACGUACUGGUCAAAUUGCUUCCUACCUUCUGACGAACCACGAUGUCAUUAAUUUGGUGUCGUGGGAAAUCAGGACUGUUACUUUGAAAAAAUUAGAGUGUUUAAAGCAGGCCCGCGCUUGAAUUCAUUAGCAUUGAAUAAUGAAAUUGGACGUUUGAUUCUAUUUUGUUGGUUUCUAGGAUCGACGUAAUGAUUAAUAGGGAUAGUUGGGGGCAUUAGUAUUCAAUUGUCAGAGGUGAAAUUCUUGGAUUUAUUGAAGACUAACUGCUGCGAAAGCAUUUGCCAAGGAUGUUUUCAUUAAUCAAGAACGAAAGUUAGGGGAUCGAAGACGAUCAGAUACCGUCGUAGUCUUAACCAUAAACUAUGCCGACUAGGGAUCGGAUGAUGUUAAUUUUUUAAUGACUCAUUCGGCGCCUUACG
rnacentral:rRNA from 1 species